GGGUUGUGAGGUUAAGCGACUAAGCGUACACGGUGGAUGCCCUGGCAGUCAGAGGCGAUGAAGGACGUGCUAAUCUGCGAAAAGCGUCGGUAAGGUGAUAUGAACCGUUACAGCCGGCGAUGUCCGAAUGGGGAAACCCAGUGCAAUUCGUUGCACUAUCGUUAACUGAAUACAUAGGUUAACGAGGCGAACCGGGGGAACUGAAACAUCUAAGUACCCCGAGGAAAAGAAAUCAACCGAGAUUCCCCCAGUAGCGGCGAGCGAACGGGGAGCAGCCCAGAGUCUGAAUCAGCUUGUGUGUUAGUGGAACGGUCUGGAAAGUCCGACGGUACAGGGUGAUAGUCCCGUACACCAAAAUGCACAGGUUGUGAACUCGAAGAGUAGGGCGGGACACGUGGUAUCCUGUCUGAAUAUGGGGGGACCAUCCUCCAAGGCUAAAUACUCCUGACUGACCGAUAGUGAACCAGUACCGUGAGGGAAAGGCGAAAAGAACCCCGGCGAGGGGAGUGAAAAAGAACCUGAAACCGUGUACGUACAAGCAGUGGGAGCACCUUCGGGUGUGACUGCGUACCUUUUUGUAUAAUGGGUCAGCGACUUAUAUUCUGUAGCAAGGUUAACCGUAUAGGGGAGCCGCAGGGAAACCGAGUCUUAACUGGGCGUUAAGUUGCAGGGUAUAGACCCGAAACCCGGUGAUCUAGCCAUGGGCAGGU
rnacentral:rRNA from 1 species